rnacentral:rRNA from 1 species
UACGUAGGUGGCAAGCGUUGUCCGGAUUUACUGGGCGUAAAGAGCGCGCAGGCGGUCGAUCAAGUCGCGUGUGAAAGCCCCCGGCUCAACUGGGGAGGGUCACGCGAUACUGAUCGACUCGAAGGCAGGAGAGGGUAGUGGAAUUCCCGGUGUAGUGGUGAAAUGCGUAGAUAUCGGGAGGAACACCAGUGGCGAAGGCGGUUACCUGGAGCUUUGCUGACGCUGAUGCGCGAAAGCGUGGGGAAGCGAGUCCGG